rnacentral:rRNA from 1 species
GUUUGAUCCUGGCUCAGAUUGAACGCUGGCGGCAUGCCUUACACAUGCAAGUCGAACGGUAACGCGGGGCAACCUGGCGACGAGUGGCGAACGGGUGAGUAAAGUAUCGGAACGUGCCCCAGUAGUGGGGGAUAGCCCGGCGAAAGCCGGAUUAAUACCGCAUGAGACCUGAGGGGUGAAAGCGGGGGAUCGCAAGACCUCGCGCUAUUGGAGCGGCCGAUAUCAGAUUAGGUAGUUGGUGGGGUAAAGGCCUACCAAGCCGACGAUCUGUAGCUGGUCUGAGAGGACGACCAGCCACACUGGGACUGAGACACGGCCCCAGACUCCUACGGGAGGCAGCAGUGGGGAAUUUUGGGACAAUGGGCGCAAGCCUGAUCCAGCCAUGCCGCGUGCGGGAAGAAGGCCUCGGUUGUAACGACUUGUCUGGAGAAGUACUUCUGGGUUAUACUCGG